rnacentral:tRNA from 1 species
GGAGGGCACCGCUGAACGGCCGGCAACUAGUCUUGAAAACUAGGGUAGCUUUCGGGCUAGGGGUUCGAUUCCUCUGCUCUCCG